rnacentral:rRNA from 1 species
GAUGAACGCUGGCGGCGUGCCUAAUACAUGCAAGUCUAGCGAACGGACGAGAAGCUUGCUUCUCUGAUGUUAGCGGCGGACGGGUGAGUAACACGUGGAUAACCUACCUAUAAGACUGGGAUAACUUCGGGAAACCGUAGCUAAUACCGGAUAAUAUUUUGAACCGCAUGGUUCAAAAGUGAAAGACGGUCUUGCUGUCACUUAUAGAUGGAUCCGCGCUGCAUUAGCUAGUUGGUAAGGUAACGGCUUACCAAGGCAACGAUGCAUAGCCGACCUGAGAGGGUGAUCGGCCACACUGGAACUGAGACACGGUCCAGACUCCUACGGGAGGCAGCAGUAGGGAAUCUUCCGCAAUGGGCGAAAGCCUGACGGAGCAACGCCGCGUGAGUGAUGAAGGUCUUCGGAUCGUAAAACUCUGUUAUUAGGGAAGAACAUAUGUGUAAGUAACUGUGCACAUCUUGACGGUACCUAAUCAGAAAGCCACGGCUAACUACGUG